rnacentral:rRNA from 1 species
UACGUAGGGUGCGAGCGUUGUCCGGAAUUAUUGGGCGUAAAGGGCUCGUAGGCGGUUUGUCACGUCGGGAGUGAAAACUCGGGGCUUAACCCCGAGCCUGCUUCCGAUACGGGCAGACUAGAGGUAUGCAGGGGAGAACGGAAUUCCUGGUGUAGCGGUGAAAUGCGCAGAUAUCAGGAGGAACACCGGUGGCGAAGGCGGUUCUCGGGGCAUUACCUGACGCUGAGGAGCGAAAGUGUGGGAGCGAACAGG